GCUCAGAAUGAACGCUGGCGGCGUGCCUAACACAUGCAAGUCGGAUGUGCCCGCAAGGGUGCAUGGCAGACAGGUGAGUAACGCGUGGGGAACCUACCUCUUUGUGGGGAAUAACGUUCCGAAAGGAAUGGUAAUACCGCAUGAGACCAUGGGCUGGGAUGCUUAUGGUGAAACCCGGGGACCGCAAGGCCUGGGGCAAGGAGAGGGUCCUGCGUCUGAUUAGCUAGUUGGCGGGGUAACGGCCCACCAAGGCGUCGAUCAGUAGCCGGCCUGAGAGGGUGAUCGGCCACACUGGAACUGAGACACGGUCCAGACUCCUACGGGAGGCAGCAGUGGGGAAUUUUGCGCAAUGGGCGAAAGCCUGACGCAGCAACGCCGCGUGGGUGAUGAAGGUCUUCGGAUCGUAAAACCCUGUCGUCAGGGACGAAGGUCGCAUGUCUAAUAGAUGUGUGACUUGACGGUACCUGGAGAGGAAGCCCCGGCUAACUCUGUGCCAGCAGCCGCGGUAAUACAGAGGGGGCAAGCGUUAUUCGGAAUUAUUGGGCGUAAAGGGCGCGUAGGCGGUGUCUUAAGUGAGAUGUGCAAUCCCCGAGCUUAACUUGGGAACUGCAUCUCAGACUGGGGCGCUAGAGUGCUGGAGAGGGUGGUGGAAUUCCACGUGUAGCGGUGAAAUGCGUAGAGAUGUGGAGGAACACCAGUGGCGAAGGCGGCCACCUGGACAGUAACUGACGCUGAGGCGCGAAAGUGUGGGGAGCAAACAGGAUUAGAUACCCUGGUAGUCCACGCUGUAAACGAUGAACACUUGGUGUGGUGGGAGUUGACCCCCGCCGUGCCGUAGCUAACGCGAUAAGUGUUCCGCCUGGGGAGUACGG
rnacentral:rRNA from 1 species